AACGAACGCUGGCGGCAUGCCUAACACAUGCAAGUCGAACGAGACCUUCGGGUCUAGUGGCGCACGGGUGCGUAACGCGUGGGAACCUGCCCUUAGGUUCGGAAUAACUCCCCGAAAGGGGUGCUAAUACCGGAUAAUGUCUUCGGACCAACGAUUUAUCGCCUUUGGAUGGGCCCGCGUUGGAUUAGCUAGUUGGUAGGGUAAAAGCCUACCAAGGCGACGAUCCAUAGCUGGUCUGAGAGGAUGAUCAGCCACACUGGGACUGAGACACGGCCCAGACUCCUACGGGAGGCAGCAGUGGGGAAUAUUGGACAAUGGGCGAAAGCCUGGUCCAGCAAUGCCGCGUGAGUGAUGAAGGCCUUAGGGUUGUAAAGCUCUUUUACCCGGGAUGAUAAUGACAGUACCGGGAGAAUAAGCUCCGGCUAACUCCGUG
rnacentral:rRNA from 1 species